rnacentral:rRNA from 1 species
UUCGGGUUAAGUCCCGUAACGAGUCGCAACCCUUGUCCUUAGUUACCAGCACGUUAUGGUGGGCACUCUAAGGAGACUGCCGGUGCAAACCGGAGGAAGGUGGGGAUGACGUCAAGUCAUCAUGGCCCUUACGGCCUGGGCUACACACGUGCUACAAAUGGUCGGUACAAAGGGUUGCCAAGCCGCGAGGUGGAGCUAAUCCCAUAAAAACCGAUCGUAGUCCGGAUCGCAGUCUGCAACUCGACUGCGUGAAGUCGGAAUCGCUAGUAAUCGUGAAUCAGAAUGUCACGGUGAAUACGUUCCCGGGCCUU